CUUACCGGAGGCUGUAUGGAUCCCGAUCCCACUCCCCAUCAUCGAUGGGGGUAUUUUUCGCUCCGGUAAAGCUGUGAUGACUGCCUUACCGGCGCGGUAAGGCAGUGGCGUCGU
rnacentral:ncRNA from 2 species